rnacentral:tRNA from 1 species
GCCGAAGUAGCUCAGUGGCAGAGCAUCUGUUUUGUAAACAGUAGGUCGGGAGUUCGAUCCUCCCCUUCGGCUCAA